AAACCAGCACCUCAAGUGGUCAGGAGGAUUAUUGGGCCUAAAGCAUCCGUAGCCUGCUCUGUAAGUUUCCGGUUAAAUUCAUUAGCUCAACUAAUGGCCUGCCGGAAAUACUGCAGAACUAGGAAGUGGGAGAGGUAGACGGUACUCGGUAGGAAGGGGUAAAAUCCUUUGAUCUAUUGAUGACCACCUGUGGCGAAGGCGGUCUACCAGAACACGUUCGACGGUGAGGGAUGAAAGCUGGGGGAGCAAACCGGAGUAGAAACCCGAGUAGUCC
rnacentral:rRNA from 1 species